rnacentral:rRNA from 1 species
GACGAACGCUGGCGGCGUGCUUAACACAUGCAAGUCGAACGAUGAACCCGGAGCUUGCUCCGGUGGAUUAGUGGCGAACGGGUGAGUAACACGUGAGCAAUCCGCCCUUGACUCUGGGAUAACUGCGGGAAACUGUAGCUAAUACCGGAUACGACACCUUGGGGCAUCCCAGGGUGUGGAAAGAAUUUCGGUCAAGGAUGAGCUCGCGGCCUAUCAGCUAGUUGGUGAGGUAAUGGCUCACCAAGGCGACGACGGGUAGCCGGCCUGAGAGGGUGACCGGCCACACUGGAACUGAGACACGGUCCAGACUCCUACGGGAGGCAGCAGUGGGGAAUAUUGCACAAUGGGCGAAAGCCUGAUGCAGCAACGCCGCGUGAGGGAUGAAGGCCUUCGGGUUGUAAACCUCUUUUAGCAGGGAAGAAGCGAAAGUGACGGUACCUGCAGAAAAAGCACCGGCUAACUACGUGCCAGCAGCCGCCGUAA